rnacentral:tRNA from 1 species
UCCCUCGUAGCUCAGUUGGUAGAGAAUCUGCCUGCAAUGCAGGAGACCUGGGUUCAAUCCCUGGCUUGGGAA